UACGUAGGGGGCGAGCGUUGUCCGGAAUCAUUGGGCGUAAAGCGCGUGUAGGCGGUUUGGUAAGUCGGGUAUGAAAUCUCCACGCUCAACGUGGAGGGGCCACUCGAUACUGCCAUGACUCGAGUCCGGUAGAGGAGUGUGGAAUUCCCGGUGUAGCGGUGAAAUGCGCAGAUAUCGGGAGGAACACCCGUAGCGAAGGCAGCACUCUGGGCCGGAACUGACGCUGAGGAGCGAAAGCGUGGGGAGCAAACAGG
rnacentral:rRNA from 1 species